rnacentral:rRNA from 1 species
UUCUUGGUUGAUCCUGCUAGUAGCCAUAUGCUUGUCUCAAAGAUUAAGCCAUGCAUGUGUAAGUAUGAAUUAAUUCAGACUGUGAAAUUGUGAAUGGCUCAUUAAAUUAGUUAUAGUUUUUUUGAUGGUAGCUGCUACAAGGAUAACCGUAGUAUUUCUAGAUCUAAUGCGUACAACAAAACUCGACUUCUAGAAGGGAUACAUUUAUUAAAUAAAAGGUCGACGUGGGCUCCACCCGUUGCUACGAUGAUUCAUGAUAACUCGAUGGAUCGCAUGGCCCUCGCGCUGGAGACGCAUCAUUCAAAUUUUUACCCUAUCAACUUUCGAUGGUGGGAUAGUGGCCUACUAUGGUAGUGACGGGUGACAAAGAAUUAGGGUUUGAUUUUAGAGAUCGUCCCUUUUGUUGACAAUGUGCUCCUGGCCUUAACUAGUUGGGUCGUGCCUCCGGUGGUGUUACUUUGAAGAAAUUAGAGUGCUCAAAGCAAGCCUACGCUCUGGAUAUUUUAGCAUUGGAUAACAUUAUAGGAUUUCGGUCCUAUUACGUUGGCCUUUGGGAUUAGAGUAAUGAUUAAUAGGUACAAUCCGAGACAAUCGUAUUUCAUAGUCAGUGAUGAAAUUCUUGGGUUUAUGAAAGAUGAACAACUGCAAAAGCAUUUGCCAAGGAUGUUUUCAUUAAUCAAGAACGAAAGUUGGGGGCUCAAAGAUGAUCAGAUAUCGUCCUAGUCUCAACCAUAAAUGACGCCAACUAGGGAUCGACUAAUGUUGCUUAUAGGACUCCGCUGGCACCUUAUGAGAAAUCAAAGUUUUUAGGUUUCAGGGGGAGUAUGGUCACAAAGCUGAAACUUACCAGGUCCAGACAUAGUUAGGAUUGACA